UAGAGUUUGAUCCUGGCUCAGGAUGAACGCUAGCGGUAUGCUUAACACAUGCAAGUCGAACGGAGUUUCUAAUAUUGACUUUCGGGAAUUUAUUUUAAACUUAGUGGCGAACGGGUGAAUGACACGUAAGAACCUACCUUUAGGAAGGGGAUAACAGUUAGAAAUGACUGCUAAUACCCUAUAUACCUACGGGUAAAAGAUUUAUCGCUUAAAGCAGGGCUUGCGUCUGAUUAGCUAGUUGGUUGGGUAAAGGCUAACCAAGGCAACGAUCAGUAGCUGGCUUGAGAGGGCGACCAGCCACACUGGGACUGAGACACGGCCCAGACUUCUACGGAAGGCAGCAGUGAGGAAUUUUCCGCAAUGGGCGAAAGCCUGACGGAGCAAUACCGCGUGGAGGAUGAAGGUUCAUGGAUUGUAAACUCCUUUUCUUAGAAAAGAAAUCAAUGACGGUAUCUAAGGAAUAAGCAUCGGCUAACUCCGUGCCAGCAGCCGCGGUAAGACGGGGGAUGCAAGCGUUAUUCGGAAUUAUUGGGCGUAAAGCGUCUGUAGGUGGCUAAAUAAGUCUGGUGUUAAAUACUGAAGCUCAACUUCAGACCUGCAUCAGAAACUAUUUAGCUUGAGUACGUUAGAGGCAGGGGGAAUUCCCAGUGUAGCGGUGAAAUGCGUAGAUAUUGGGAGGAACACCAACAGCGAAGGCACCCUGCUGGCCGAUACUGACACUCAAGGACGAAAGCUAGGGGAGCGAAUGGAAUUAGAUACCCCAGUAGUCCUAGCUGUCAACGAUGGAGGCUAAACGUUGUCCAUUUGGCCAGCGUUGAAGUUAACGCGUUAAGCCUCCCGCCUGGGGAGUACGCUCGCAAGGGUGAAACUCAAAGGAAUUGACGGGGACCCGCACAAGCGGUGGAGCAUGUGGUUUAAUUCGAUGCAACGCGAAGAACCUUACCAGGGCUUGACAUGCCGCGAAUCGCUAUGAAAAUAGUGGAGCCGAAAGGCGCGGUCACAGGUGGUGCAUGGCUGUCGUCAGCUCGUGUCGUGAGAUGUUGGGUUAAGUUCCGCAACGAGCGCAACCCUUAUCCCCAGUUACCUUUUUAGGAACCUGUGGAGACUGCCGGUGUUAAGCCGGAGGAAGGUGAGGACGACGUCAAGUCAUCAUGCCCCUUACGCCCUGGGCUACUCACGUGCUACAAUGGCUAGGACAAUGGGAUGCCACCCUGCGAAGGCGAGCUAACCCCAAAAACCUAGUCUUAGUUCGGAUUGUAGGCUGCAACUCGCCUACAUGAAGCCGGAAUCGCUAGUAAUCGCUGGUCAGCAAUACAGCGGUGAAUACGUUCUCGGGUCUUGUACACACCGCCCGUCACACCAUGGAAAUUGGCUAUGCCCAAGAUCGUCACCCUAACCUUUUGGAUGGGAGCGCUUAAGGUAGAGCUAGUAACUAGGGUGAAGUCGUAACAAGGUAACCA
rnacentral:rRNA from 1 species